rnacentral:rRNA from 1 species
GAUAAACGCUGGCGGCGUGCUUAACACAUGCAAGUCGAACGGAGUGGUUCUCCCGAGAAGUGAUGAAGCUUGCUUCAGAAUGACUCAAUUGAAUCACUUAGUGGCGGACGGGUGAGUAACGCGUGGGUAACCUGCCCUAUACUGGGGGAUAGCAGUUGGAAACGACUGAUAAUACCGCAUAAGCACACAGCAUCGCAUGUUGCAGUGUGAAAAACUCCGGUGGUAUAGGAUGGACCCGCGUCUGAUUAGCUAGUUGGUGAGGUAACGGCCCACCAAGGCGACGAUCAGUAGCCGGCCUGAGAGGGUGUACGGCCACAUUGGGACUGAGACACGGCCCAAACUCC